CAACUACUCCCUCUGUCCCAAAUUUCUUGUCUUAGAUUUGUCUAGAUACGGAUGUAUCUAAUACUAAAAUGUGACUUGAUACAUCCGUAUCUAGACAAAUCUAAGACAAGAAUUUUUGGACGGAGGGAGUACUUU
rnacentral:pre_miRNA from 1 species